GAUAUAUUAUAUUAUAUUAUAUUAUGUUAUAUUAUAUUCAUGUAAUAUACUAACACUCCUGACCCGGGAAAGUAGUGACAAAAAUAACAAUACAAGACUCUUUUGAGUCCUUGUAAUUGGAAUGAGUUCACUUUAAAUCAUUUCAUGAGGAUCCAUUGGAGGGCAAGUCUGGUGCCAGCAGCUGUGGUAACUCCAGCUCCAUUAAAGUUGCUGGAGUUUAAAAGCUCCUAGUUGGAUCUUGGGAGUGGGCAGUGAUCCGUGGUGAGGGGAGUCAUGCCUCUCGGUGCCCCCUUCCAUACUCUUAGCUGAGUGUUCCACCCAGGCUGAAGCAUUUUGAAAAAAAUUUCAAAGCAG
rnacentral:ncRNA from 1 species